rnacentral:rRNA from 1 species
GACAGAGGGUGCAAACGUUGUUCGGAAUUACUGGGCGUAAAGCGAGUGUAGGCGGUCUGCUAAGUCGGGUGUGAAAGCCCUGGGCUCAACCCAGGAAGUGCACCCGAAACUGGCGGGCUAGAGUAUCGGAGAGGUUGGUGGAAUUCUCGGUGUAGAGGUGAAAUUCGUAGAUAUCGGGAGGAACACCAGUGGCGAAGGCGGCGACCUGGGCCAAUAUUGACGCUGAGGUGCGAAAGCGUGGGGAGCAAACAGG